rnacentral:rRNA from 1 species
UACGAAGGGGGCUAGCGUUGUUCGGAAUUACUGGGCGUAAAGCGCACGCAGGCGGCUCGAUAAAUUAGAAGUGAAAGCCUUGGGCUUAACCUGAGAAUUGCUUUUAAGACUGUCGAGCUAGAAUCCAGAAGAGGGUAGUGGAAUUCCGAGUGUAGAGGUGAAAUUCGUAGAUAUUCGGAAGAACACCAGUGGCGAAGGCGACUACCUGGUCUGGCAUUGACGCUCAUGUGCGAAAGCGUGGGGAGCAAACAGG